AACGAACGCUGGCGGCAUGCCUAACACAUGCAAGUCGAACGAGACCUUCGGGUCUAGUGGCGCACGGGUGCGUAACGCGUGGGAACCUGCCCUUAGGUUCGGAAUAACUCCCCGAAAGGGGUGCUAAUACCGGAUAAUGUCUUCGGACCAAAGAUUUAUCGCCUUUGGAUGGGCCCGCGUUGGAUUAGCUAGUUGGUAGGGUAAAAGCCUACCAAGGCGACGAUCCAUAGCUGGUCUGAGAGGAUGAUCAGCCACACUGGGACUGAGACACGGCCCAGACCCCUACUGGAGGCAGCAGUGGGGAAUGUUUGACAAUGGGUGAGAGGUUGACAAACCACUGCCGCGUGGGUGAUAAUGCCCUUAGGGUUGGAAUGCCCUCUGACACUGGACGAUAAUGAAGGCACCGGAAGAAUAAGCUCCGCCUACCUCCGUG
rnacentral:rRNA from 1 species